CUGCAUCCUCAUCACUCUGAA
rnacentral:siRNA from 1 species